CCUUAUCAUUCGACUGUCCAGA
rnacentral:miRNA from 1 species